GAUGAACGCUGGCGGCGUGCUUAACACAUGCAAGUCGAACGGUGAAGGCGGAGCUUGCUCUGCUGGAUCAGUGGCGAACGGGUGAGUAACACGUGAGCAAUCUGCCCCUGACUCUGGGAUAAGCGCUGGAAACGGCGUCUAAUACUGGAUACGAGCUGCGAAGGCAUCUUCAGCAGCUGGAAAGACCGUCGGUCAGGGAUGAGCUCGCGGCCUAUCAGCUUGUUGGUGAGGUAACGGCUCACCAAGGCGUCGACGGGUAGCCGGCCUGAGAGGGUGACCGGCCACACUGGGACUGAGGGACGGCCCAGACUCCUACGGGAGGCAGCAGUGGGGAAUAUUGCACAAUGGGCGAAAGCCUGAUGCAGCAACGCCGCGUGAGGGACGACGGCCUUCGGGGUGUAAACCUCUUUUAGCAGGGAAGAAGCGAAAGUGACGGUACCGGCAGAAAAAGCGCCGGCUAACUACGUG
rnacentral:rRNA from 1 species